rnacentral:lncRNA from 1 species
UGGAAUUUCAGUAAUGGUCUCUCAGUUUCUUAGCCAUGUGACCUCAGGGAGCUCGUUGAGGCUGUUUCCUCGUCUGCGAAAUAAGGUACUACAAUCGGCUUUACGGCGUCACGCAGCAAGAGCAGAGGUAACAUUUAGGGCCGUCAUUAACGCUAUGGCAGGAGCGCGGAUGAUUCCAGCCCAGGGCCCGGCAGAGAGGGCGCUCUGUAGCACAGUGAGGUCUGAGAGUCCGCGUCUUGGCAUCUAAUUGAAUGUCUACUACGAUGUGGGUGGGUUCCAGCUCUCUCAGAAGCAGAUCCUGAGAGAAGGACUGAAGUGCAAGCAGCUAUGUGGGAGGUGAUCCCAGGAAACGCCUGUAGGGGAGAGGAAAAUGGAGCCGCCCAAGUCCCUGCAGGGACUUCACUGAGAAAUAAAUGACUGAGGCUUCCGCUGUGGACAACCGGGCUCAAGCCUGUUGGGACCUUCACGUCGACUGCUUGGCUGUGAUGUUUGGAGCUGGCACAGUCAUCUUGUCUCCUUGAAGCAUAACAUCAUCAACAUGCUGAGGAUGGAAGAGCAGAGAGCUGAAAGGAGCCGGGGCCCUGUUUAAUUAGCAGAUCCCAACGGCAGAACCUAAGACACCAGAGGAAAAGUUCUCCCUCUUCUACAGUUCCUUGCUGCCCAAGCCAUCUUAUUUAAUAGGCAUACAAAGAAUCAGAAAUAAGAAUACCAUAAGACAUCUCAACAGCAAUAUGGAAAGUUAGAAUAUAGCAAAAUAUAUCUUCAAAGCUCAAAAAGACUACCAAUCACCAGUUGUGGGUAAGAGUCCUCAUUUCCCUCUGUCUUCAUCAGUGGCAGCUCAUUCUUUUAUUUGAAUUUGCUUAUACCCAGUGAGACUGAGCAUUUUAUCACAGACACAUUGACCUAGUGGAUUUCUUCUAGAAACUGUCCAUUCAUUUGAUUUGAAUUUCGUGUCUCUUUUCUUAAUAUGCAAAGCUUCUUUUGUAUUCUGAUACUACUCCUUUGUUUUCUAUGCUGCAAAUAACUUCUCCCAGUUUGUGAUUUGGACAGAUGAGGGUUUGGAUUCCAGACAUCCCAUCUUUGAGAAUGAACACACCACUAAUCUUAGGCAAGCUACUCAACCUUGUUCUCCACUGUGGACAAUCAAGUGAUAUAACCCAACUCACAGGAUUGUUUGGGUCAUUAAGUGAAAUAAAGUGUGUCAACUCCCCAUUAGUAUCUGGGACAUGGUAAUUGAUUAAUGUAUAGAGAUAGGUUUAGUGUUAUCAAGAUUUA